UAACCAUGAUGUGGACAUGAAUUAAAUAGAUCUUUGAACCUUUCCCAGCAUUGAUAAAAAGUUUCAGAAUCUUUUUGAAAAAAAAUCAUGAUCUGUCUUUUCAAAAC